rnacentral:rRNA from 1 species
GACGAACGCUGGCGGCGUGCUUAACACAUGCAAGUCGAACGGAAAGGCCCUGCUUUUGUGGGGUGCUCGAGUGGCGAACGGGUGAGUAACACGUGAGUAACCUGCCCUUGACUUUGGGAUAACUUCAGGAAACUGGGGCUAAUACCGGAUAGGAGCUCCUGCUGCAUGGUGGGGGUUGGAAAGUUUCGGCGGUUGGGGAUGGACUCGCGGCUUAUCAGCUUGUUGGUGGGGUAGUGGCUUACCAAGGCUUUGACGGGUAGCCGGCCUGAGAGGGUGACCGGCCACAGUGGGACUGAGAGAAGGCGAAGACUCCUCCGGGAGGAGGCAUGGGGGAAGAUUGCACACUGGCGGGAAGCCUGAAGCAGCUUCGCCGCGUUAGGAAUGAGGGCCUUCGGGAUGGAAACCACUAUCACCUGUGACGAAGGGUGAGUGACGGUAAUGAGUAAAGAAACACCGGCUAACGACG